GACUUUUUUCUAUUAGUAUACCAAUAUACACCAAAUACAUAUUUCGUUCAUCCAUUUAUACCGUGUGUACAGAUAUAUUCAUAUAUUACAAUUAACUGUUAAGCGUUGCAGUACAUAGCGCAAGCUUGCCAACACAAACACAUACAAAGAUGCGUGCCGCCCUAAAAAGAGCACAUGCUUAGAUGCACAACUAGAUAGAAAGAUAUUAGCUAGCGUGCAUGCAUGCAAAAAUAUGGCCGUCAUGCAUAUAUAACUUGCACAUCCAUAUAUCAUGCCAUCAUAUAUUUCGUAUAGUAUAUGGGUAUACACGCCCAAAGGAUUUUAGUUCAAUCUAUCUAUGGAGUACGUAUAUUAUUUGAGUUACAUAAGAUAGACAAGUUGCUUCA
rnacentral:lncRNA from 1 species